AGUUUUCACUUGACCUCAACCUCAUUUCAUGGAUCAGUGAACAAGGUUAAGUUUUGGUGGUCAAGUCCAUAUCUCAGAUACUAUAAACAAUAGGUCUAGUAAAUUCGGUGUAUGGAAGGACUGUAAGGUGUACAUGUCCAACUGGCAGGUGUCAUCUGACCUUGACCUCAUUUUCAUGGUUCAGUGGUUAUAGUUAAGUGUUUGUGUUUUGGUCUGUUUCUCUCAUACUUUAUGCAAUAGGUCUACUAUAUUUGUUGUAUGGAAUGAUUGUAAGAUGUACAUGUCUAGCGGGCAGAUGUCAUCUGACCUUGACCUCAUUUUCAUGGUUCAGUUGUUAUAGUUAAGUUUUUGUGUUUUGGUCUGUUUUUCUCAUACUUUAUGCAAUAGGUUUACUAUAUUUGUUGUAUGGAAUGAUUGUAAGGUGUACAUGUCUAGCGGGCAGAUGUCAUCUGACCUUGACCUCAUUUUCAUGGUUCAGUGGUCAAAGUUAAGUUUUUGAGAUUUGGUCUUUUUAUCUAAUACUAUAUGUCAUAGGUC
rnacentral:lncRNA from 1 species